rnacentral:rRNA from 1 species
AGGACGAACGCUGGCGGCGUGCCUAACACAUGCAAGUCGAACGGGACCAGGGGCAACUCUGGUUCAGUGGCGGACGGGUGCGUAACACGUGAGGAACAUGACUUUCGGCGGGGGAUAGCCGGCCCAACGGCCGGGUAAUACCGCGUACGACCUCUCGGGGACAUCCCCGGUUGGUGAAAGCAGCAAUGCACCGAAAGAGUGCCUCGCGGCCUAUCAGCUAGUUGGUGAGGUAAUGGCUCACCAAGGCGACGACGGGU